GAUGAACGCUGGCGGCGUCCCUAAUACAUGCAAGUAGAACGCUGAAGCUUGGUGCUUGCACCGAGCGGAUGAGUUGCGAACGGGUGAGUAACGCGUAGGUAACCUGCCUCUUAGCGGGGGAUAACUAUUGGAAACGAUAGCUAAUACCGCAUAAAAGUCGAUAUCGCAUGAUAUUGAUUUGAAAGGUGCAAAUGCAUCACUAAGAGAUGGACCUGCGUUGUAUUAGCUAGUUGGUGAGGUAACGGCUCACCAAGGCGACGAUACAUAGCCGACCUGAGAGGGUGAUCGGCCACACUGGGACUGAGACACGGCCCAGACUCCUACGGGAGGCAGCAGUAGGGAAUCUUCGGCAAUGGGGGCAACCCUGACCGAGCAACGCCGCGUGAGUGAAGAAGGUUUUCGGAUCGUAAAGCUCUGUUGUAAGAGAAGAACGAGUGUGAGAGUGGAAAGUUCACACUGUGACGGUAACUUACCAGAAAGGGACGGCUAACUACGUG
rnacentral:rRNA from 1 species